GAUGAACGCUAGCGGCAGGCCUAAUACAUGCAAGUCGAGCGGCAAGUCGAGGAGUAAUCUAAGACCUAGAGCGGCGCACGGGUGCGUAACGCGUAUGCAACCUACCUUAUACUGGGGGAUAGCCCGGAGAAAUCUGGAUUAAUACCCCCAUGGCACAUAUUGAUGGCAUCUGAGAUAUGUUAAAGAUUUAUUGGUAUAAGAUGGGCAUGCGUCUGAUUAGCUAGUUGGCGGUGUAACGGACCACCAAGGCGACGAUCAGUAGGGGUUCUGAGAGGAAGGUCCCCCACACUGGCACUGAGAUACGGGCCAGACUCCUACGGGAGGCAGCAGUAGGGAAUAUUGGGCAAUGGUCGGAAGACUGACCCAGCCAUGCCGCGUGCAGGAAGACGGUCCUAUGGAUUGUAAACUGCUUUUAUACAGGAAGAAACGACUCUUGCGAGGGAAAGUGACGGUACUAUAAGAAUAAGCAACCGGCUAACUCCGUGCCA
rnacentral:rRNA from 1 species